rnacentral:rRNA from 1 species
AUGUUCCUCAUGCUUGAAGAAUUUUGUCAUAACUUUGAGGAAGAAAUCGAGUGGAUUGAGACAAGCUUAGACCCCAUCAACUCCCUCAUCAAGGACAAAGCUGCUAUGAAUGUGCUGCGACUGGAAUCUCGUCUCGCCAGUGUUUUGGACUACCUUGGCCGACUGAAGGUAGCGGUGUCGCGGAUUGACACGGAGCUCUGGCCUGGUGCAGCAUUCCAUAAUGACCUUGAGUCACUGAUGACUCAACUCAACGGCAUCCCUGAGCGAGUGCAGACGUGGAAGAAGUCAUCUGCUCGUUGCGGCGUUGACAUGGCUCUGUCGCUGGCGGCUCUCAAGGUUUCCAACACCAAGAAGCUUCAAUUCCAAUCCUUCAUGGAGACCUUCAUCGACGCCGCAACCCGCAUUGCAUACAACAUCAACCUUGAUAGUUUCGUCGAGCUAGCAAGUCCUACUCCUGCCGAGUGA